rnacentral:sRNA from 1 species
CCCAUGGCUCGCGCCAUGGGCUAUAAUAUGUCGCCUCCUGCGGAGGCU